rnacentral:rRNA from 1 species
AAAAGUGCAUAGGGAAGGUAAAGGUACAGAAGGCGCACGGUGGAUGCCUAGGCAGCAGGAGGCGAAGAAGGGCGUGGCAAGCUGCGAAAAGCCACGGGGAGGUGCAAACGACCGUUGAUCCGUGGAUGCCCGAAUGGGGAAACCCACCUACCUGAGAGGGUAGGUAUCUCCGAAAGGAGAGGCGAACCCGGUGAAGUGAAACAUCUCAGUAACCGGAGGAAAAGAAAUCAACCGAGAUUCCCUGAGUAGCGGCGAGCGAAAGGGGAGGAGCCUAAACCGUGGUAGUGUAGAAGCCUGCGGGCGUUGCUACCACGGGGUAGAGGGACGCAACUGGGCGAGGCCGCAGACUCGCCGGGGAGUUACAAACCUUGCAUCUAGCUGAAGGGUCUGGGAAGGCCCACCGGAGAGGGUGAAAGUCCCGUAGGCGAAAGGUGCGAGGCUCCCUGGGUUGUGAUCCCGAGUACCACGGGGCACGAGGAAUCCCGUGGGAAUCAGGGGGGACCACCCUCCAAGGCUAAAUACUCCCUGCUGACCGAUAGCGCAAAAGUACCGUGAGGGAAAGGUGAAAAGCACCCCGGGAGGGGAGUGAAAGAGGACCUGAAACCGUGUGCCGACAAGAAGUGGGAGCCCGAAAGGGUGACCGCGUGCCUUUUGAUUAAUGAGCCUGCGAGUUAUCGUAGCUGGCGAGGUUAAGCCGGGAGAGGCGAAGCCGAAGGGAAACCGAGUCUGAAAAGGGCGAGGAGUCAGCUGCGGUAGACCCGAAACCGGGUGAGCUACCCAUGGGCAGGUUGAAGGUGGGGUAACACCCACUGGAGGACCGAACCAGUUGGCGGUAAAAAGCCAUUGGAUGACCUGUGGGUAGGGGUGAAAAGCCAACCGAACCCGGUGAUAUCUGGUUCUCCCCGAAACGUGUCUAAGCACGGCCCUGCAUGGUCAGUGAUGGGGGUAGAGCACUGGUUGAGCUAGGGGGGCAACCUCCGACCUCAGCCAAACUCCGAAUACCAUCACUCAAAGUGCAGGAGACAGACUACGGGCGAUAAGGUCCGUGGUCGAAAGGGAAACAGCCCAGACCACCAGCUAAGGGCCCGAAGAGGUGGCUAAGUGUUAAAGGAAGUGAAGAGUCGAAGACAGCUGGGAUGUUGGCUUAGAAGCAGCCAUCAUUUAAAGAGUGCGUAACAGCUCACCAGUUGAGGCUCUUCGCGCCGAAGAUGUAAGGGGGCUGAAGCCACCCUCCGAAGCUGUGGGACAGCAGCGAAAGGCUGUUGUCGGUAGGGGAGCAUUGCGCGGUAGGGCGAAGGCAGACCCGCGAGGGCUGCUGGACGAAGCGCAAGAGAGAAUGCAGGCAUGAGUAGCGAGAGGAGAGUGAGAAUCUCUCCCCCCGAAAGCCUAAGGGUACCUGGGGAAGGGUCGUCCGCCCAGGGUUAGUCGGUACCCUAAGGUGAACCCGAAAGGGUUAGCCGAUGGGAAACCGGUUAAUAUUCCGGUACCAGCUAAUAGUGAGGCUUGGGGCGUGACGCAGGAGGAUAGGCCUCGCGUACUGGUUGCACAGUGCGUCCAAGCGUCAAGGCCGAUGAUGGAGGUAGGCAAAUCCGCCUCCGGAGGCUGAGGCGUGAUGGGGAGCUUCUUCGGGAGCGACGAGGUUGCGUUCACACUGCCGAGAAAAGCGUCGCAAGCCGCUUGAGCUAUUAGCUGACCGUUCCGCAAACCGACACAGGUAGGCUGGCUGAGAAGGCUAAGGGGAGCGGGAUAACCCCCGUUAAGGAACUAGGCAAAAUGGCCCCGUAACUUUGGGAGAAGGGGUGCUCUCUGGUGUGAAUAGCACCGGGGAGCCGCAGUGACAAGGCUCCGGCGACUGUUUACCAAAAACACAGGACUCUGCUAACUCGAAAGAGGAAGUAUAGGGUCUGACGCCUGCCCAGUGCCGGAAGGUUAAGGGGAGGGGUUAGCCCGAAAGGGCGAAGCUCUGAACCGAAGCCCCGGCAAACGGCGGCCGUAACUAUAACGGUCCUAAGGUAGCGAAAUUCCUUGUCGGGUAAGUUCCGACCUGCACGAAUGGCGUAACGAUCGGAGCACUGUCUCAACGGGGGGCCCGGCGAAAUUUCAGUCUGGGUGAAGAUGCCCAGUACUCGCAGCUAGACGGAAAGACCCCGUGGAGCUUUACUGCAGCUUGGUAUUGUACUUUGUUGUGGUGUGUACAGGAUAGGUGGGAGGCUGAGAACCCGGCUCGCCAGGGUCGGGGGAGCCGCCGGUGGGAUACCACCCUCGCCACAGCGGAGUACUAACCUGGUGGUGUGAAGAGCACCACAGGGACAGUGCUAGGCAGGCAGUUUGACUGGGGCGGUCGCCUCCAAAAAGGUAACGGAGGCGCACGAAGGUCGGCUCAGGUUGGUUGGAAACCAACCGGAGAGUGUAAGGGCAAAAGCCGGCUUGACUGUGAGGCUGACAGGCCGAGCAGGAGGGAAACCUGGUCCUAGUGACCUUGCGGCACUGAGUGGAAAGGCCGUUGAUCAGCGGAUAAAAGUUACCCCGGGGAUAACAGGCUAAUACCGCCCGAGAGUUCACAUCGACGGCGGUGUUUGGCACCUCGAUGUCGGCUCAUCGCAUCCUGGGGCUGGAGCAGGUCCCAAGGGUUAGGCUGUUCGCCUAUUAAAGCGGUACGUGAGCUGGGUUCAGAACGUCGUGAGACAGUUCGGUCCCUAUCUGCUGCGAGCGGAGGAGGCUUGAGGAGGGUCACCCCUAGUACGAGAGGACCGGGGUGAGUGGACCACUGGUGAACCAGCUGUCGUGCAAGCGGCAGUAGCUGGGUAGCCAACGUCCAUGAGCGAUAACCGCUGAAAGCAUCUAAGCGGGAAACGUGCUCCAAGACGAGGCCUCCAAGGGUCGUCCGAGAAGAGGACGUAGAUAGGCUGGAGGUGUAAGCCCCGCGAGGGGUUGAGCCGACCAGUACUAAUCACCCGAGACCUUUACCUA